GUUUCCGUAGUGUAGCGGUUAUCACGUUCGCCUCACACGCGAAAGGUCCCCGGUUCGAUCCCGGGCGGAAACA
rfam:Eurypyga helias contig11378, whole genome shotgun sequence.